rnacentral:tRNA from 1 species
GGAGAGUUGUCCGAGCUGGCUGAAGGAGCACGGUUGGAAACCGUGUAGGCGAUUCUUUCGUCUCAAGGGUUCGAAUCCCUUACUCUCCG